rnacentral:tRNA from 1 species
GGGCGAGUGGCGGAACUGGUAUACGCGCACGACUCAAAAUCGUGUCCCGAAAAGGAUGCGGGUUCGACUCCCGCCUCGCCCA